rnacentral:rRNA from 1 species
GACUGCUAUCAAAGUGGGACUAAGCCAUGCCAGUCAGCAUAGAAAUAUGUGGCAUACGGCUCAGUAACACGUAGUCAACAUGCCCAGGGGACGCGGAUAAGCUCGGGAAACUGAGGAUAAACCGCGAUAGGUCAUCACUUCUGGAAUGGGUAAUGACUUAAAUCUAUAUGGCCCCUGGAUUGGACUGCGGCCGAUCAGGCUGUUGGUGAGGUAAUGGCCCACCAAACCUGUAACCGGUACGGGCUCUGAGAGGAGGAGCCCGGAGAUGGGCACUGAGACAAGGGCCCAGGCCCUAUGGGGCGCAGCAGGCGCGAAACCUCUGCAAUAGGCGAAAGCUUGACAGGGUUACUCUGAGUGAUUUCCGUUAAAGAGAUCUUUUGGCACCUCUAAAAAUGGUGCAGAAUAAGGGGUGGGCAAGUCUGGAGUCAGCCGCCGCGGUAAUACCAACACCCCGAGUGGUCGGGACGUUUAUUGGUCCUAAAGCAUCCGUAGCCGGUUCUACAAGUCUUCCGUUAAAUCCACCUGCUUAACAGAUGGGCU